AGGUUCUGUUUGACCUGUCUCCUGGUUCUGACCAGCCUUUUGACCCAGACAGAACCUGACACACACUUAUUCAAACUUUGGAAAUUUAAUAAUUUCCAAAUUUGUCCUCAGCUUUCUUUAGAAAAGCUGAGGACAAAAGCCGAUUAUAAAGCAGAACUGCUUUAGUAAAAUAAAAAAUUUCAGAUGAUGGAAUAGAGUUGCAGAGUAGUCUGAGGAACAAUGAGUACCUGUUAUGGGAAAAUCCACUACAGGGAUGUCACCCGUUUUCCCAAAUAGAGCCAGAACAAAUACUGUGCCUAUACUUUGACUUGAAAGAGGCAAUCCUGCAACUAAUGAUGAAAAUCAUCAGAUUUUAGAAUCGGAGACAUUGAUUUUCCACUCUGUUAUGGGAAAGUCCACCAUGUGAUGUUCCAUUCCACAUGUUUUUAUUAAAUAUUGUUAUAAAAAACA